CAGCAUACUGCCUUUAUUUACUAAAUAUCAUCUGCAUUUACGGUUGUUUUCUUAAGAUUACAAUUCCAGAAAUGGAAUUCCUGGGGCAAAGGGGAUUAUUUUUUUUUAAGUUGUUGAUACUUAUUGUCCAGUUGCCCUCCAGAAAGUUUAUACCAGUGCAUGCUUCCACCAGCAAUGUCUUUGGGCAUCCAUUUUUAUCAUCUCCUUCACAGCUGUGAAAUUUUAAAAACUGAUCUUUGCGCAUUUGACUGGUGAGAAAUACCACCUUCCUUUUUUCUUUUUUGAGACAGGGUCUCACUCUGUCGCCCAGGCUAGAGUGCAGUGACAUGAUCACGGCUCACUGCAGCCUCAACCUCCUAGGCUCAUGAUCCUCCUACAUCAGCCCCCUGAGUAGCUAGGACCACAGGCAUGCACCACAAUGCCUGGCUAAGUUUUGUAUUUUUUUGUAGAGGUGAGGGGGUCUCACUGUGUUGCCCAGGCUGGUCUUGAACUCCUGGACUCAAGCGAUCUGCCUGCCUCAGCCCCCCGAAGUGCUGGGAUUACAGGAGUGAG
rnacentral:lncRNA from 10 species